rnacentral:pre_miRNA from 1 species
UCUAAUGGACGAGCAAAGAAAGUAGUUUCUUGAGAUGGAAUCUACUCCUAGUGAAGAUUGUUGAA